GAUGAACGCUAGCGGCAGGCUUAACACAUGCAAGUCGAGGGGCAUCGCGGGGUAGCAAUACUCUGGCGGCGACCGGCGAAAGGGUGAGUAACGCGUGAGCAACAUGCCCGUAAGAGGGGGAUAGUCAUUGGAAACGAUGCGUAAUACCCCGUACCAGUAGUUUCCGCAUGGUGAUUACUUGAAAGAUUUAUCGCUUACGGAUUGGCUCGCGUCCCAUUAGGCAGUUGGCGGGGUAACGGCCCACCAAACCGACGAUGGGUAGGGGUUCUGAGAGGAAGGUCCCCCACAUUGGAACUGAGACACGGUCCAGACUCC
rnacentral:rRNA from 1 species